rnacentral:rRNA from 1 species
GGCGGCGUGCUACACAUGCAAGUCGAGCGGAAAGGCCACUUCGGUGGUACUCGAGCGGCGAACGGGUGAGUAACACGUGAGUAAUCUGCCCCUGGCUUCGGGAUAGCCACCGGAAACGGUGAUUAAUACCGGAUAUGACAGACCCUCGCAUGGGGGUGUGUGGAAAGUUUUUCGGCCAGGGAUGUGCUCGCGGCCUAUCAGCUUGAUGGUGAGGUAAUGGCUCACCAUGGCUUCGACGGGUAGCCGGCCUGAGAGGGUGACCGGUCACACUGGGACUGAGACACGGCCCAGACUCCUACGGGAGGCAGCAGUGGGGAAUAUUGGACAAUGGGCGGAAGCCUGAUCCAGCAACGCCGCGUGAGGGAUGACGGCCUUCGGGUUGUAAACCUCUUUCAGUACCGACGAAGCGCAAGUGACGGUAGGUACAGAAGAAGCACCGGCCAACUACGUGCCAGCAGCCGCGGUAAUACGUAGGGUGCGAGCGUUGUCCGGAAUUAUUGGGCGUAAAGGGCUCGUAGGCGGUUUGUCGCGUCGGGAGUGAAAACGCCGUGCUUAACACGGCGCUUGCUUCCGAUACGGGCAGACUAGAGGUAUUCAGGGGAGAACGGAAUUCCUGGUGUAGCGGUGAAAUGCGCAGAUAUCAGGAGGAACACCGGUGGCGAAGGCGGUUCUCUGGGAAUGACCUGACGCUGAGGAGCGA